UACGAAUGGGGCAAGCGUUGUUCGGAAUCACUGGGCUUAAAGCGUGCGCAGGCGGAUUCGGAAGUCAGGAGUGAAAUCCCGGGGCUCAACCCCGGAAUUGCUCUUGAAACUCCGGAUCUAGAAUCCGGUAGAGGUUAGGAGAAUUCCUAGUGUAGAGGUGAAAUUCGCAGAUAUUAGGAGGAAUACCAGUGGCGUAGGCGCCCAACUGGACCGGUAUUGACGCUCAUGUACGAAAGCGUGGUGAGUAAACAGG
rnacentral:rRNA from 1 species